UCAACAAAAGAGAGGCCAGGCUUCAACACAAGGUUAGAAUUUUUCUUAGACAAAAAGCAUCCCAAACUUGCUGGCUACAUGGAAUGGAGCUCAUGUGCAC